UAGGGAAUCUUCCACAAUGGACGAAAGUCUGAUGGAGCAAUGCCGCGUGAAUGAAGAAGGUCUUCGGAUCGUAAAGUUCUGUUAUUAGAGAAGAACAAGUUGAGGAGUAACUGUCUCAACUUUGACGGUACCUAACCAGAAAGUCACGGCUAACUACGUGCCAGCAGCCGCGGUAAUACGUAGGUGACGAGCGUUGUCCGGAAUUAUUGGGCGUAAAGGGAGCGCAGGCGGUUGGAAUAGUCUGAUGUGAAAGCCCACGGCUUAACCGUGGAAGGUCAUUGGAAACUGUCCAACUUGAAUGCAGAAGAGGUAAGUGGAAUUCCAAGUGUAGCGGUGAAAUGCGUAGAUAUUUGGAGGAACACCAGUGGCGAAGGCGACUUACUGGUCUGUAAUUGACGCUGAGGCUCGAAAGCGUGGGUAGCAAACAGG
rnacentral:rRNA from 1 species